CAAAUAUUUCGCGAAAAUUGAAAUUAAAAUUCCGACGGAAUUCCGACGGAAAAUGUCCGUCGGACCCUAGGUUUUAUAACCACGAGCCACUUCUUCUUCCCCAUUUCUCUCUUCUUCCUCUGCGCGAUUCCUCUCUUUUUUUCCGGCGAUUUCCCCCUGAAAUCCGACGAUAUCUCCGGCGAUCUCCCCCUUUUCUUACACAAAUCAUGUAAGGACCCUAUCCC
rnacentral:lncRNA from 1 species